CCUUCCCCUAGAGGUGUUGCAGGUGUGGCUAUUGUGUGACGGUUGGGUCAGUACGUGGCAGAGAGGAAAGGGGCUGUGCCUAAGCUCAGUGUUCUGACCUGCAAACAUCUAUCUGAAUGAUUAGUAGCCUAACAUU